rnacentral:rRNA from 1 species
GGAUCAUUAAAGAGUUCAAUAAAACUCCUAAACCCCUGUGAACUUACUGGUGUUUGGCUCGCCAGAUAUAGUCUGGUCCGUAAGCAAAUCGACUGCUUGCCUGUGUAACAGGCAGGUAAGCUUUUGUCGCGGGGUCCCGGAUCAACCCGGGCUAGAUAGCCACUUAACUAUAUACUUAUAAAAUCUGUGAACUUACUAGGUUGGAUUCUCGCCAGAGAUAGUCUGGUUUCUGCUUCGCGGAUCGCCUACCCGUGACACCUGUCACAGGCAGGUAUGCUUCUGCCGCGGGUCCGUAAGUAAAUCAUCUGUUUCACAAGGGACGGCGAUUUACCUGUGGAAGAGGUCCGCUAACUAUAUUCUUAGUAUAGUUUGUUCACUAGAUCAAACAUUCUGAAUAAAAACUUAAACUAGUUAAAACUUUCAACAACGGAUCUCUUGGUUCUGGCAUCGAUGAAGAACGCAGCGAAAUGCGAUAAGUAAUGUGAAUUGCAGAAUUCAGUGAAUCAUCGAAUCUUUGAACGCACAUUGCGCCCAUUAGUAUUUUAGUGGGCAUGCCUGUUCGAGCGUCAUUUCAACCCUUAAGCCCCUGUUGCUUAGCGUUGGGAGCCUACAGCCUGCUGUAGCUCCUUAAAGGUAGUGGCGGAGUCGGUUCACACUCUAGACGUAGUAAAAUCUUUAUCUCGCCUAUAGAUGAGCCGGCGCCUUGCCGUAAAACCCCUAAUCUUUCACAAGGUUGACCUCGGAUCAGGUAGGAAUACCCGCUGAACUUAAGCAUAUCAAUAAGCGGAGGAAAAGAAACCAACAGGGAUUGCCCUAGUAACGGCGAGUGAAGCGGCAACAGCUCAAAUUUGAAAUCUGGCCUUCGGGUCCGAGUUGUAAUUUGCAGAGGAUGCUUUGGGCGCGGUGCCUUCCGAGUUCCCUGGAACGGGACGCCUUAGAGGGUGAGAGCCCCGUACGGUUGGACACCAAGCCUCUGUAAAGCUCCUUCGACGAGUCGAGUAGUUUGGGAAUGCUGCUCUAAAUGGGAGGUAAAUUUCUUCUAAAGCUAAAUAUUGGCCAGAGACCGAUAGCGCACAAGUAGAGUGAUCGAAAGAUGAAAAGCACUUUGAAAAGAGGGUUAAAUAGCACGUGAAAUUGUUGAAAGGGAAGCGUUUGCGACCAGACCUUUUCCCAGCGGAUCAUCCGGUGUUCUCACCGGUGCACUUCGCUGGGUUGAGGCCAGCAUCGGUUUCCGCAGGGGGAUAAAAGCCUGGGGAACGUAGCUCCCUCGGGAGUGUUAUAGCCCCUCGCAUAAUACCCUUGCGGGGACCGAGGACCGCG